rnacentral:rRNA from 1 species
GAGUGAACGCUGGCGGUAGGCCUAACACAUGCAAGUCGAACGGCAGCACAGUAAGAGCUUGCUCUUACGGGUGGCGAGUGGCGGACGGGUGAAGAAUACAUCGGAAUCUACUUUUUCGUGGGGGAUAACGUAGGGAAACUUACGCUAAUACCGCAUACGACCUACGGGUGAAAGCAGGGGAUCUUCGGACCUUGCGCGAUUGAAUGAGCCGAUGUCGGAUUAGCUAGUUGGCGGGGUAAAGGCCCACCAAGGCGACGAUCCGUAGCUGGUCUGAGAGGAUGAUCAGCCACACUGGAACUGAGACACGGUCCAGACUCCUACGGGAGGCAGCAGUGGGGAAUAUUGGACAAUGGGCGCAAGCCUGAUCCAGCCAUACCGCGUGGGUGAAGAAGGCCUUCGGGUUGUAAAGCCCUUUUGUUGGGAAAGAAAAGCAGCAGGUUAAUACCCCGCUGUUCUGACGGUACCCAAAGAAUAAGCACCGGCUAACUUCGUG